rnacentral:misc_RNA from 1 species
AUAAAUGUCCAUGUCAGAUUCAAAUAACUUCUAGUAUAAUCUUUCAAUGAUGCAUCAGCUAUUGUCACUUUCCUUCACUGGAUCAGAGUUCACAAUUGGAAGAUUCCUUCUGUGCUGAGUAGAUGUCAACCUCCUCUCUAACGGUGUUUUCCUUUUGCUCACAACAAAUCUAUUAACACCUUUCCGCAUUGGCAUUAUCGAGGGGAAAUCUUCAUCUGGGAUCUGGCUCAACUCUGAUAUGUCCUUGAUCUGGGCAACACGUCGGAACCACCUCUCUGCCUUGGCCUCCUCUGACAUGUCCAAAGGAUCUGGUUCCUUCACUGCUGACCCUUCCAAGCUUUUUCCAGUCCAGCUAUCUCCAUUUUUCUGAUUCUCAGAUGGAUGAGAUGUAGUCGCUGUCAACCUAGGUUCCUCCUUGACAUCCUUCUUACUGGGGAAUCCUCUGCACCCACUGUCAUUGUCAUUUGUUGGGGAAUUAGUAAGAUUCUGUGGUGAACUCCCCAUCAGAUUUGGUGUCCCAGUAAUAUUUUCAUUUCUAUAAUAUCCACUGCUCCAACCAUCCCUGCUAUUAGACUGGGGAUCAACAACAUUUUGAGUUGAAUUUACACUUGUUAAUGCCCCAGGAGAUGCACCUGCUUUCAUUUCAUUCGAGUUUUCCCAAGUUCUUGAAUCUGUGCUCCUUGCACCGCAUUGUUGGUUUUUCAUCCCUUGAGCAUGUGAUGCACCAGUUACUGUCAUCCAACUUCUCAGGGAGCUUCGCUAGUGUUGCAGAAUUUGCAGUUCCACUGGUAGCAUUAUUAGUUGAAUCAGCUACAUCUGGCUGUUGGUUAUCCUUUUUUGCAAAGUAGUUUGGUGGGAAGGGAACAAAGGGCACAAAAUUGGUAUCAUUAGCUUGCUCCAUGGCCAUACGUCUCUUGUACAU